rnacentral:rRNA from 1 species
AUUGAACGCUGGCGGCAUGCUUUACACAUGCAAGUCGAACGGUAACAGGGAGCUUGCUCCGCUGACGAGUGGCGAACGGGUGAGUAAUAUAUCGGAACGUACCCAAGAGUGGGGGAUAACGUAGCGAAAGUUACGCUAAUACCACAUACGAUCUAUGGAUGAAAGCAGGGGACCUUCGGGCCUUGUGCUCCUGGAGCGGCCGAUAUCUGAUUAGCUAGUUGGUGAGGUAAAGGCUCACCAAGGCGACGAUCAGUAGCUGGUCUGAGAGGACGACCAGCCACACUGGAACUGAGACACGGUCCAGACUCCUACGGGAGGCAGCAGUGGGGAAUUUUGGACAAUGGGCGCAAGCCUGAUCCAGCAAUGCCGCGUGAGUGAAGAAGGCCUUCGGGUUGUAAAGCUCUUUUGUCAGGGAAGAAACGGCUGUGGCUAAUAUCCACGGCUAAUGACGGUACCUGAAGAAUAAGCACCGGCUAACUACGUG